AUUGAACGCUGGCGGCAGGCCUAACACAUGCAAGUCGAGCGGGGUUUUCGGACCUAGCGGCGGACGGGGGAGUAAUGCGUAGGAAGCUACCCGAUAGAGGGGGAUACCAGUUGGAAACGACUGUUAAUACCGCAUAAUGUCUACGGACCAAAGUGUGGGACCUUCGGGCCACAUGCUAUCGGAUGUGCCUACGUGGGAUUAGCUAGUUGGUGAGGUAAUGGCUCACCAAGGCGACGAUCCCUAGCUGGUUUGAGAGGAUGAUCAGCCACACUGGAACUGAGGCACGGUCCAGACUCCUACGGGAGGCAGCAGUGGGGAAUAUUGGACAAUGGGCGCAAGCCUGAUCCAGCCAUGCCGCGUGUGUGAAGAAGGCCUUCGGGUUGUAGAGCACUUUCAGUAAGGAGGAAGCGUUGAGUGUUAAUAGUACUCAGCGUUGACGUUACUUACAGAAGAAGCACCGGCUAACUCUGUGCCAGCAGCCGCAGUAAUAC
rnacentral:rRNA from 1 species